rnacentral:rRNA from 1 species
AGCUCCAAUAGCGUAUAUUAAAGUUGUUGCAGUUAAAAAGCUCGUAGUUGGAUUUCUGAUCGGAGUGACCAUGCCGGACUUGAUUGUCCGUGCAAUGUGUUGUCUUCAAUCAUCCUUGUGGAGAGCAUUUCUGGCAUUAACUUGUUGGAUUUGGGACCCGCAUCGUUUACUGUGAAAAAAUUAGAGUGUUCAAAGCAGGCAAUUGGCUUGAAUACAUUAGCAUGGAAUAAUAAGAUAGGACUUUGGUGCUAUUUUGUUGGUUUGCACACUAAGGUAAUGAUUAACAGAAUCAGUCGGGGAUAUUCGUAUGCAAAUGUCAGAGGUGAAAUUCUUGGAUUUUUUACAGACGAACUACUGCGAAAGCAUUUAUCAAGGAUGUUUUCA